GAUGAACGCUAGCGACAGGCCUAACACAUGCAAGUCGAGCGGGAUCCACCUUCGGGUGGUGAGAGCGGCGCACGGGUGAGUAACGCGUAUGUAACCUGCCUACAACAGGGGGAUAGCUCUCGGAAACGGGAAUUAACACCGCAUAAGACCACGCUUUCGCAUGGGAGCGCGGUAAAAAUCUGAGGAGGUUGUAGAUGGGCAUGCGUGACAUUAGGUAGUUGGUAGGGUAACGGCCUACCAAGCCAACGAUGUCUAGGGGUUCUGAGAGGAAGGUCCCCCACACUGGUACUGAGACACGGACCAGACUCCUACGGGAGGCAGCAGUGAGGAAUAUUGGUCAAUGGACGCAAAGUCUGAACCAGCCAUGUCGCGUGCAGGAA
rnacentral:rRNA from 1 species